rnacentral:misc_RNA from 1 species
CUUAACCGUGGUCCCGGAUCGACGUGUCUUGAUUAAUUAGUGAUUAUUUUUUUGUUUUUCGCUUUGGAUAUUACUUAAGCUUUCGAAAUGGAUCCGAUAUUGGCACUGGAAGUCUCAGGAGUGUCGCGUCUGCGUGCCAUCAACGACGCCACGUCGCGCGGGGACUCCGUGGUGCAGAAGGCCUACGCGGGGGGCGUAGCCUUUGUCACCGGGGCUUCAGGCUUCCUGGGCAAACAUCUCGUCGAGAAACUGUUAAGGUCAACGGACAUUAAGAAGAUUUACAUGUUAGUGAGACCGAAGAAGGGGAAGUCGGUUCAGGAGCGCCUCAACGACAUACUAUCAGACCCGGUCUUCGACACCGUCCGCAAGCAGUCACCAUUCUCUGAGAAGCUGGUUGCAGUCGCUGGUGACAUUAACGACGUCAGACUUGGUAUCACUGAUCAGGACUGGACUCUGCUGGCUAGAGAGGUGAAUUUCAUUUUCCACGGAGCAGCGACCACGCGGUUUGACGAACCGCUCGCUGUUGCAGCCAUCACCAACGUCAGAGGGACUCGAGAGGUACUCACCCUCGGGAGGAGUUGCAAGAACCUCAGAUCUUUAGUCCACAUCUCAACAGCAUUCUCCCACGCGCGGAUCAGUAUGAAACAGAAGAACGUUAUGGAACAGUUCUACGAAGUUCCGAUAACUGCGCAGGAGUUGAUCGAUAUGGCCGAGAGCGGGGUGACGGACGACGCCGCUACGAAGUUGAUGCAGGACUGGCCUAAUACCUAUUGCUUCACGAAGGCCGUAGCUGAGGAUGCUGUCAGGACCAUGUCGGAUGGCCUGCCAGUGUGCAUUGUCAGGCCUUCUAUUGUAAUCGGCGCAUACCGUGAGCCUGCUCCUGGGUGGGUGGACAUGAGUUGCGCAUACGGCCCUGCUGGGGUGAUGUUGGGCGUAGGUUUAGGGCUCGUCCACGCAGUGCUAGCAGACAGGUCGGUGAAGAUCGACAUAGUACCGGUGGAUGCUGUCAACAAUGCUGUGCUGGCGGCUGGCUGCGUGACCGCUGGCCUCCCCGCGGACACCAGCGACAUCAGGAUAUACACUGUCACGAGCUCCAGGAACCCUGUCACUUGGGGCUCGUGCGGCGACGUCCAUCGCACGGAAAGCAGGAAGAUAUCCACCCCGAAGGCGGUAUGGUACUGCUAUGCCGUGGACACCAGCAACAAAUUCCUCUUUUGGCUUCUGUUUUGGCUUCUGCACUACAUACCUGCAUACUUCGUUGACGCUGUGUGUUGGCUUAUUGGGAAGGAGCGCAGAUUCGUCAAGCUCUACACAAAGGCAUAUAAACUAUUUACACUGACAUCAUUCUUCACAACGAACUAUUGGCAGUUUAGCGACAAAAACCUUAAGCAUUUGUUAGACAAUUUAAAUGAGACGGACAAACAGAUAUACAAUUUCGAUGUUACUUGUAUUGACUGGAAGGAGCUCAUGCUGAUCUGGUGCAUGGGGCUGAGGAAGUACAUCGUCAAGGAUGGGUUGGCUGAUACGGACUACGCAGUCAAGAAGCAAUUCUGGUUGAGCAUAGCCAACGCGAUAGUUCUAUGUCUGUAUGCCUACAUGUGGUAUAAGUUAUUUACUGUUAUUUAUAGUGGUGUCAUGUUUGUAGGUAGCUUAGUUUAAUUUUAAAGGAAUUUAUGGUGCUAAUUCCAGUACGCACCAUUUAAUUUUAUUUUGAGUUAUACCCGUCAUUUUCUUAUCCGCCGGAAAGGAAAGGGACGGGUAAUCGGCAGGCAUAAAAUUUACGAAACACACGUCAAUUUUAGGCACAAAUCUAAACCAAAAAAUUUGCCAAUAACCCGACAGAAUUAAGUUUGCUAUUUGACUCGCCCGGGUUAUGCGUUCAUUCACUCAGGUGCUAAUUCCUGCAAACGCCAUCUAAAUUUAUUUUAAGUUAAACCUGUCAUUUUCUUUAUCAGUUGGAAAAGAAAGGGACGGGUAAUCGACAGGCAUAAAAUUUUAAGCAGAAAUCUAAAACAACCGUCUAAAAUUUUUACAUCAGCCAAUAAACCGACAGAGUUAAGUAGACAGCACGUCAAACGGAUUACAAUACCAGCGAUCUCGCCUAUUUUAUUCGCUCGGGUUAUUCAUUCGUUUUAAAAUUAACUUGUUGACUCCGAAUCAUCCGUCCCUUUCCUUUUCGGCGGGCGGAUAAAUGACAGGUAUAACUUAAAAUAAAAUUAGGAGGUGUGUACUGGAAUUAGCAGCAUUAUUAUUACAUAUUAAUGUGAUUUCAAGGUUAUUGCACUUGGUUUAAGAAUAAUUUUCUUUUGUCCUUGAAAGUAUUGCACAUAGAAUAGACCACGCACUGUUGAUACGAUGUCGUAAGCUGGAUAUGAUGAACCUUAUGGUGAUAAGGGAUCAGCCUAUCGCCCAUAACAUUAGUCCAGUUAGAGGACACAAUCCCUCUGUCUCGGUUAGUACUUUUGGCGGCGAGAUCAUAAAUGCAAGCACCACUAAUGGUGGUCAGUAUCUUGAAGAAUCCAACAUGGCAUGUGCUAUUGUUGCUGUGAUAAGUGCAACAAAAAAAGUGAGUAAUAAAGAUUUGAGGUUCUCAAUGAUAACCAAAACAAUCAAACAAUAUGCUGCAAAACAUAAAAUAUAUAAUUCAAAUGAAUUUAACAUUU